AACGAACGCUGGCGGCAUGCCUAACACAUGCAAGUCGAACGAGACCUUCGGGUCUAGUGGCGCACGGGUGCGUAACGCGUUGGAACAUGCCCUUAGGUUCGGAAUAACUCCCCGAAAGGGGUGCUAAUACCGGAUAAUGUCUUCGGACCAAAGAUUUAUCGCCUUUGGAUGGGCCCGCGUUGGAUUAGCUAGUUGGUAGGGUAAAAGCCUACCAAGGCGACGAUACAUAGAUGGGCUGAGAGGAUGAGCAGCCACACUGGGACUGAGACACGGCCCAGACUACUACGGGAGGCAGCAGUGGGGAAUAUUGGACAAUGGGCGAAAGCCUGAUCCAGCAAGGACGCGUGAGUGAUGAAGGCCGUAGGGUUGUAAAGCUCUUUUACCCGGGAUGAUAAUGACAUUACCGGGAGAAUAAGCACCGGCUAACUCCGUG
rnacentral:rRNA from 1 species